UACGUAGGGUGCAAGCGUUGUCCGGAAUUAUUGGGCGUAAAGAGCUCGUAGGCGGUCUGUCGCGUCGGCUGUGAAAACCUGAGGCUCAACCUCAGGCCUGCAGUCGAUACGGGCAGACUAGAGUUCGGUAGGGGAGACUGGAAUUCCUGGUGUAGCGGUGAAAUGCGCAGAUAUCAGGAGGAACACCGGUGGCGAAGGCGGGUCUCUGGGCCGAUACUGACGCUGAGGAGCGAAAGCGUGGGAGCGAACAGG
rnacentral:rRNA from 1 species